GUGGGGAAUAUUGGACAAUGGGGGGAACCCUGAUCCAGCCAUGCCGCGUGUGUGAAGAAGGCCUUUUGGUUGUAAAGCACUUUAAGCGAGGAGUAGGCUACCGAGAUUAAUACUCUUGGAUAGUGGACGUUACUCGCAGAAUAAGCACCGGCUAACUCUGUGCCAGCAGCCGCGGUAAUACAGAGGGUGCAAGCGUUAUUCGGAUUUACUGGGCGUAAAGCGCGCGUAGGUGGCCAAUUAAGUCAAAUGUGAAAUCCCCGAGCUUAACUUGGGAAUUGCAUUCGAUACUGGUUGGCUAGAGUAUGGGAGAGGAUGGUAGAAUUCCAGGUGUAGCGGUGAAAUGCGUAGAGAUCUGGAGGAAUACCGAUGGCGAAGGCAGCCAUCUGGCCUAAUACUGACACUGAGGUGCGAAAGCAUGGGGAGCAAACAGGAUUAGAAACCCGAGUAGUCC
rnacentral:rRNA from 1 species